AGCUGUUCCCCUCUGGAGGUCCAUUGACCUUCACACUUCAUGGGCCGCGGUGACGCUGGCCCUUUUUUUAUCCACGC
rnacentral:sRNA from 1 species